AGAGUUCGAUUAUGGCUCAGGACGAACGCUGGCGGCGUGCUUAACACAUGCAAGUCGAACGAGAAUCUACUGAAAGAGUUUUCGGACAAUGGAUGUAGAGGAAAGUGGCGGACGGGUGAGUAACGCGUGAGGAACCUGCCUUGAAGAGGGGGACAACAGUUGGAAACGACUGCUAAUACCGCAUGACGCAUAGAGGUCGCAUGAUCUUUAUGCCAAAGAUUUAUCGCUUCAAGAUGGCCUCGCGUCUGAUUAGCUGGUUGGCGGGGUAACGGCCCACCAAGGCGACGAUCAGUAGCCGGACUGAGAGGUUGAACGGCCACAUUGGGACUGAGAUACGGCCCAG
rnacentral:rRNA from 1 species